GGCGGCGUGCCUAAUACAUGCAAGUAGAACGCUGAAGGAGGAGCUUGCUUCUCCGGAUGAGUUGCGAACGGGUGAGUAACGCGUAGGUAACCUGCCUGGUAGCGGGGGAUAACUAUUGGAAACGAUAGCUAAUACCGCAUAAGAGUAGAUGUUGCAUGACAUUUGCUUAAAAGGUGCAAUUGCAUCACUACCAGAUGGACCUGCGUUGUAUUAGCUAGUUGGUGGGGUAACGGCUCACCAAGGCGACGAUACAUAGCCGACCUGAGAGGGUGAUCGGCCACACUGGGACUGAGACACGGCCCAGACUCCUACGGGAGGCAGCAGUAGGGAAUCUUCGGCAAUGGACGGAAGUCUGACCGAGCAACGCCGCGUGAGUGAAGAAGGUUUUCGGAUCGUAAAGCUCUGUUGUAAGAGAAGAACGAGUGUGAGAGUGGAAAGUUCACACUGUGACGUAUCUACCAGAAAGGACGGCA
rnacentral:rRNA from 1 species